rnacentral:tRNA from 1 species
GAAUCAUGGCUCAGAGGUAGAGCGCUUGCCUAGUGUGCAUGAGGCACUGGGUUCGAUCCUCGGCA